rnacentral:rRNA from 1 species
AGUCUGGUGCCAGCAGCCGCGGUAAUUCCAGCUCCAAUAGCGUAUAUUAAAGUUGUUGCAGUUAAAAAGCUCGUAGUUGGAUUUGUGGUUUACGCAAGGCUUCCGUCCCUCUUGGGUUUCGGUGUUGCCUGGCGUUGCCAUCCUUGGGUGGAAUCUGUGUGGCAUUAGGUUGUCGUGCAGGGGAUGCCCAUCGUUUACUGUGAAAAAAUUAGAGUGUUCAAAGUAGGCUUAUGCCGUUGAAUAUGUUAGCAUGGAAUAAUAAUAUAGGACCUUGGUACUAUUUUGUUGGUUUGCGCACCGAGGUAAUGAUUAACAGGGUCAACUGGGGAUAUUCGUAUUCCGCUGUCAGAGGUGAAAUUCUUGGAUUUUUGGAAGACGAACUACUGCGAAAGCAUUUAUCAAGGAUGUUUUCAUUAAUCAAGAACGAAAGUUAGGGGAUCGAAGAUGAUUAGAUACCAUCGUAGUCUUAACCAUAAACUAUGCCGACAAGGGAUUGGUGGAGUAUCGUUACGUCUCCAUCAGCACCUUAUGAGAAAUCAAAAGUCUUUGGGUUCCGGGGGGAGUAUGGUCGCAAGGCUGAAACUUAAAGAAAUUGACGGAAGGGCACCACCAGGAGUGGAGCCUGCGGCUUAAUUUGACCCAACACGGGAAAACUUACCAGGUCCAGACAUAGUGAGGAUUGACAGAUUGAGAGCUCUUUCUUGAUUCUAUGGGUGGUGGUGCAUGGCCGCUCUUAGUUGGUGUAGUGAUUUGUCUGGUUAAUUCCGUUAACGAACGAGACCCCUGCCUGCUAAAUAGCCCAGUGAGUGAUUUUUCACUGACUGUUGGCUUCUUAGAGGGACGUGCAUUCUAUUAGAUGCAGGAAGAUAGGGGCAAUAACAGGUCUGUGAUGCCCUUAGAUGUCCUGGGCCGCACGCGCGCUACACUGAUGAAUUCAACGAGUUUUUUCCUUGGCCGAGAGGCCUGGGCAAUCUUUUGAACGUUCAUCGUGAUAGGGAUAGAUUAUUGCAAUUAUUAAUCUUGAACGAGGAAUUCCUAGUAAACGCAGAUCAUCAAUCUGCAUUGAUUACGUCCCUGCCCUUUGUACACACCGCCCGUCGCACCUACCGAUUGAAUGGUCCGGUGAAUCCUCGGGAUUGUGGUCAGUCUGCUUUAUCGCGAGUUGAUUGCGAGAACUUGUCUAAACCUUAUCAUUUAGAGGAAGGUGAAGUCGUAACAAGGU